ensembl:lncRNA
GGCAUGCAAGCCAAGUAUUUUAUCAACUGAACCAUCUGCGUAGCCCACAAAUAAUUUCCAUAGUGUUUUACUUCUCAGGACUGGACCUUGAGGGUGGACCCACAUUAGGCACAUUUCAGCUUGGAAUGAAACAUAUACCUAUCUGAACAUUUUUGCAUCUGUGAAAACCACCUGAUUAAGCUUUAGAGAAUCACAUUAUUGAGGCAAUUACUAAAGCUGUCUAAACCAUAAAGAAGAGAGACCGCUAAGGAAGG